ACCUACGGGUGAAAGUGGGGGACCUUCGGGCCUCACGCGAUGAGAUGAGCCGAUGCCGGAUUAGCUAGUUGGCGGGGUAAAGGCCCACCAAGGCGACGAUCCGUAGCUGGUCUGAGAGGAUGAUCAGCCACACUGGAACUGAGACACGGUCCAGACUCCUACGGGAGGCAGCAGUGGGGAAUAUUGGACAAUGGGGGCAACCCUGAUCCAGCCAUGCCGCGUGUGUGAAGAAGGCCUUCGGUUGUAAAGCACUUUGUUGGGAGAAACCGGCCGGGUUAAGUACCUUGGUUGAAUGACGGUACCCAAAGAAUAAGCACCGGCUAACUUCGUG
rnacentral:rRNA from 1 species